GGUGAUUAGGAAUGUUCCAAAAUAAUUCACAUGGCAAGCACUGUGCUGAAAACAUGGUGUUCUAGAAGUCCAUCUUAGAGCCUAGAGUUCUUCCAGAAAAAAGCCUCCCUUCAUAUAACGGACCCUAAACUGCUUUGCACUGAGGAAGUGAACAUUCUUAUUAAGGAAUCCAUGUUAGCUCCUGUUUGUUAAAAUGCUGCUAAUGAGAUCAACAUCAUGAAGUUAAUUUCUAUAACCCUAUUCCAUAGCUGCAAACUACGAAGACAUCUUGAAAACAUGAAACGAUCAGAAGAGAGGUCAGAUAAUCGCAGAAAAGCGAUUCAGCAGAGAAGGAAGUGCUUGGUCUUGAUCUGAAAUCGUCCCUAGUACAACUUCUGUGACAAGUAGGAGCCCCAAGGAGCAGUUGGCAUCGAUGCUGCGCGUUCCAUUUGGGUGCCUUAGCCCCUGGAUUUUGGAGCUGAACUCAAGUUCUUUGUCAAGCUAAGCUACAGAAGACGUUGCUCUCAGUCUCUCUCAGCUGGAAGGAGCAGAGCAAAAACCUCUCUGACUUCAUAAAACCUUAAUCUCUGGAGCAGUGCCUGGCAUAUUAAGGGACUCAGAGGUGUCCCGAUAUGACUAAUGCUCACGAUCUCCCCCGUUACCACCCUGAUGCAAGCCACCUGUCUGGACCACUGCACUAACUUCCUAACUGGCUUCUGGGCUUCUGUCCUUGCUUCUUCCAGUGUAUUCUCCAAAUAGCAGCCAGAGUGAAUCCUAUGAAAACGUGUCAGAUCACAUGACUUCUACAUGCUCUGUGAAAUAGAAAAAUGAAGAAUGUCAACAAAGCCAAAAUCAGUUUGUGGAAAUAGUUGAUAAAAUUUAUAAACCUUUAACAAUACUGAUCAAGAAAAAAGAGAACACACAAAUAACCGUGUUAGGAGUGAAAAGGAGGCACUAUUAGAGGUCCUACAGACAUUAAAUGACAAGGGAAUAUGAUGGUCAAUGCAUCUGCCAAUAAAUUCAAGGACUCAGAUGAUGUGAACAAACUCCUUGAAAAACACACAUUAUAAUAAAUCUGACAAAAAAAAAGAGAGAGAACAUUUCUAACCCCUCUAUUUCUUAAGGAAAUUGUAUUCAAAAUGAAAAACCUCCCACAAAGAAAAUCCCAGGCCCAGAUGACUUCACUGGUGAAUUCUCCCAAACACUGAAGGAAGAAAUAAUGCUGACUUUACAGAAACUUGGUCACCAUUAGCUGUUGUUAUUAUGAUUAACAUCAGUAUGGUUUCCAUAAGUCUCCUGCCUCCUUUUCUGGCAUCUAUCUUAAAACGAAGAGGACAGAACUUUUCAUAGUCUGCUAGAAAAAGUCAUGAUUCCAUAGGAGGUUAGUUUGUAGAUCUUUCCUCUCCUAGCUGUGUCUGUUUGAUUCAGAAUGGUAUGUGGUGUUUGCACAACGCUCUCUACAUUGCUGUUGUCUCUGACCUAAGUCGUGUUUUUUUUUUUUUUUUUUGACCUAAGUCGUUUUUAAACCUUUUACACAAAACCAACUGUUCCUCUGAGACUUGAGAAGAAGGUCUGCCAAGUAUGAUCAAGAAAUCUUCAGGAUUCUAUCACACCUGGUUUUUUGGUGAUUUUUUAAAAAGAUUUUAUUUAUUUAUUCAUGAGA